GAGCCAGCUUAGCCCAGUGGUACCAUCGACCAAUGCAUUGCUUGGAUCCCCCAAUCACCUCCAGUGGUUUGAGACCCACGGGCACCACCUGGCUUUUUA
ensembl:vault_RNA Vault Vault RNA